rnacentral:misc_RNA from 1 species
GAUGAAGAACGUAGCGAAAUGCGAUACGUAAUGUGAAUUGCAAAUUCAGUGAAUCAUCGAGUCUUUGAACGCACAUUGCGCGCCCUGGUAUUCCGGGGGGCAUGCCUGUCCGAGCGUCAUUGCUGCCCUCAAGCACGGCUUGUGUGUUGGGCCCCGUCCUCCGAUCCCGGGGGACGGGCCCGAAAGGCAGCGGCGGCACCGCGUCCGGUCCUCGAGCGUAUGGGGCUUUGUCACCCGCUCUGUAGGCCCGGCCGGCGCUUGCCGAUCAACCCAAAUUUUUUAUCCAGGUUGACCUCGGAUCAGGUAGGGAUACCCGCUGAACUUAAGCAUAUCAAUAAGCGGAGGA